AUUGAACGCUGGCGGCAUGCCUUACACAUGCAAGUCGAACGGCAGCAUGGAAGAGCUUGCUCUUCUGAUGGCGAGUGGCGAACGGGUGAGUAAAGCAUCGGAACGUACCGUGUAGUGGGGGAUAACGUAGCGAAAGUUACGCUAAUACCGCAUACGCACUGAGGUGGAAAGCAGGGGAUCGCAAGACCUUGCGCUAUACGAGCGGCCGAUGUCAGAUUAGCUAGUUGGUGAGGUAAAGGCUCACCAAGGCGACGAUCUGUAGCGGGUCUGAGAGGAUGAUCCGCCACACUGGGACUGAGACACGGCCCAGACUCCUACGGGAGGCAGCAGUGGGGAAUUUUGGACAAUGGGGGCAACCCUGAUCCAGCCAUGCCGCGUGAGUGAAGAAGGCCUUCGGGUUGUAAAGCUCUUUCGGCCGGGAAGAAAUCGCACAGGCUAAUACCUUGUGUGGAUGACGGUACCGGAAUAAGAAGCACCGGCUAACUACGUGCCAGCAGCCGCCGCAG
rnacentral:rRNA from 1 species